UUUUGAAGCUUGAAAAUGCAGCAUUCCCUAUUCCUUUGUGUGUAUCUGGCUGUGCUCUGCUCCUCACAUUGCAGCCUGGUGCACACCACUGCUGUGCUAGCUCCGAGCUCAGAGGCUCUGCUGUGGCAGCUCUCAGCCAUGCUUACAGGAACCUGGGCAGAAAUGCUCCUCAUGGUCAAGCCUUGGGUUCAGCUCUCAGCUCUGCCUCCUGGAAGCCACAAGAGCUGGGGCAGGCUGGCUGUAGCACUUCUGUCUUCCUCAUGUCAGGACCCAGCAUAGAUGCACUUUAACUACACAGAGGCUGUCCCACCUUCCUUCUGCCCCUCCUGGGAGGACCCAAACCCUGCACUUGAUGGGCUUCUGUAAAGUCCACGUCUGACUGUGAAACCUGGACCCCAGCUGUGGAUCUAGGGUGGAUGGUAACUCAGUGUGGAUUCAAGAAAUUCCUCAGAGCAGUGCUCCUCCAAAGAACCUUGACCUGCUUCCAGGAACAGUGCCUGACCUCAAAGCUUAACUGUAGGAUGGACACAGAUCAUUGAAGGCCCUCCUCUCAGCAUCCCCUGUUAUUCCUUUGUCAGCUGUGAAACCACUUCUCCCUGCCUGUGUCGUGUACGAGCCCAUCCAUCACCUCACACAUGUGAAUGGUGCUCAGCUGGACAGAUUAAACACGCCUUGAUACUUGAGUUAUGAUCACUGUUACAUGUGAGGCCAUAUCCUGAGAUCAGCCCUGAUCAGUGUGGAUGCAGAAAUACAAAAAGCUCCUUAAGAUUCCUCCAGUGGCUUCAUGAUAAGGAUACCACGAGCCCCUGCACAAGGCAUCACUGACCUGAAGCACCCGAAUUCCUGCUAUCUAAUUUAAAACAGAUAACUCUCCAGAUAAGUCACUGGGCCCACACUUGUGACUCACAGUCCUGAGGUCAGAAGGUCUCUUAGACCUUGGGAAUACUGUAACU